rnacentral:rRNA from 1 species
AAUCACUUGUUCUUUAAAUGAGGACUCGUAUCAAUGGCACCACGAGGACUUUACUGUCUCCUUUUUCUAAUCAGUGAAACUAAUCUUCCCGUGAAGAAGCGGGAAUAAAUAGAUAAGACGAGAAGACCCCAUGGAGCUUUAAGCUUACUGCACCUCUAUUUUCUAUAACCUCUUAUUAAACGGAAUACUGCUUACUUAGCUUUAGGUUGGGGUGACCGCGGAGUAUAACAUAACCUCCAUGAUGAACAAAACUAUUUUCUUAUCUAAGAACAACAGUUCUAAGAAUUAGUAUUCUAACAUAAAAUGAUCCGAUAAUCGAUCAACGGACUAAGUUACCCUGGGGAUAACAGCGCAAUCCAUUUCAAGAGCCCCUAUCGACAAAUGGGUUUACGACCUCGAUGUUGGAUCAGGAUAUCCUAGUGGUGCAGCAGCUACUGAAGGUUCGUUUGUUCAACGAUUAAAAUCCU